CCUACGGGGUGCAGCAGUGAGGAAUAUUGGUCAAUGGACGAGAGUCUGAACCAGCCAAGUAGCGUGAAGGAUGACUGCCCUAUGGGUUGUAAACUUCUUUUAUAUGGGAAUAAAACGUUCCACGUGUGGGAUUUUGUAUGUACCAUAUGAAUAAGGAUCGGCUAACUCCGUGCCAGCAGCCGCGGUAAUACGGAGGAUCCGAGCGUUAUCCGGAUUUAUUGGGUUUAAAGGGAGCGUAGGUGGAUUGUUAAGUCAGUUGUGAAAGUUUGCGGCUCAACCGUAAAAUUGCAGUUGAUACUGGCAGUCUUGAGUACAGUAGAGGUGGGCGGAAUUCGUGGUGUAGCGGUGAAAUGCUUAGAUAUCACGAAGAACUCCGAUUGCGAAGGCAGUUCACUGGACUGCAACUGACACUGAGGCUCGAAAGUGUGGGUAUCAAACAGGAUUAGAUACCCGGGUAGUC
rnacentral:rRNA from 1 species